CCUACGGGGGGCAGCAGUGAGGAAUAUUGGUCAAUGGACGCAAGUCUGAACCAGCCAUGCCGCGUGCAGGAAGACGGCCCUAUGAGUUGUAAACUGCUUUUGUACGAGGGUAAACGCAGAUACGCGUACCUGUCUGAAAGUAACGUAUGAAUAAGGAUCGGCUAACUCCGUGCCAGCAGCCGCGGUAAUACGGAGGAUUCCAGCGUUAUCCGGAUUUAUUGGGUUUAAAGGGUGCGUAGGCGGGCGGGUAAGUUAGAUGUGAAAUUCCGAGGCUCAACUUCGGAAUUGCCUCUGAUACUGUUCGGCUUGAGAGUAGUUGCGGUAGGCGGAAUGUAUGGUGUAGCGGUGAAAUGCUUAGAGAUCAUGCAGAACACCGAUUGCGAAGGCAGCUUACCAAGCUACUUCUGACAUUGAGGCACGAAAGCGUGGGGAGCAAACAGGAUUAGAUACCCGUGUAGUC
rnacentral:rRNA from 1 species